rnacentral:rRNA from 1 species
AUGCCAUGCAUGUCUAAUUAUAAACAACUCUAUACUGUGAAACUGCAAAGGGCUCAUUAUAUCAUUUAUAUUUUCUUUGAUGGUCCUUGCUACUUGAAUAACCGUAUUAAUUCCAAAGCUAAUACAUGCAUCAAACCCCAACUUCUGGAAGGGGUGUAUUUAUUAAAUGGAAACCAAUGCGGGGCACCCCGGUAUAUGGUGAUUCAUAAUAACUUUCGAAUCGAUCUUCGAAUCGAUGCAUCAUUCAAGUUUCUGCCCUAUCACCUUUGGAUGGUAGGGUAUUGGCCUACCAUGGCUUUAACGGGUAACGAAAAAUUAGGGUUCAAUUCCGGAAAGGGAGCCUGAAAAACGGCUACCACAUCCAAGGAAGGCAGCAGGCGCGUAAAUUACCCAAUCCUGACACAAGGAGGUAGUGACAAUAAAUAACAAUGCCGGGCAUUUUGUCUGGCAAUUGAAAUGAGAACAAUUUAAAUCCCUUAUCGAGGAUCAAUU